rnacentral:lncRNA from 1 species
AACAAGCGCAGAUCCAAACCAUGAUCCCUACCCAGCCACAUGCCAUGAAAGAAGUGCAGUCGGAGGAUGCAGCACCACAGAUUGAAACUGAAAUACAAGGAAUUGAGGGAGGAGGAGAACAAGCACAGAUCCAAACCCUGAUCCCUACCCAACCACAUGCCAUGGAAGAAGCGGUCCAACAAAAUCAGCCUAGACAUAGCCUUGGUGUUUGUGGUUAUGAGUGUUCUUCUAAUAUUUGGGUGUUGGAUCGU